GGGGCAGAGCUUCUCGGAGGUGGCGAUGUGGAGGUGGUGACCACCUAGAAGAGAGCCAGUUCUCUUCCAAAUGUACCACAGGGACACAUUUAUUUAACCCUCAAGGCAGCCCUUGUGAUUCCCCGGUUCCCAGGGAGGAACCCAGGCCCAGAGAAGUGCAAGAGCUUGUCCCAGGCCACACAGCUGCACCAAAACUUCUGCCCCGUGGCCAGCAGUUAAAUGGACCAUAGAGGAGCUGCAGCCUGGCCUCCACAUCAGCUGUUCCUGGCUUCUGUCCUCCCCGCAUUUGCCUCAUGAAGCCAGCACUGUCCUCAGAACUCUGUCCAUACUUAUGAACAUCUCCACGCCUUCAGGAGAUGGAGCUGUGCAUCCAAGCACGUGAGAACCCGUGGCCUCUGGAGUGGGAGUACCUCACACCCAGUGUGAGCAGAGGGGUUUAAACACAGAUGUCUGCAUGCCAUCAAACCUCACUGCCUUCCUGCACAGCGGCUGGCUUGUGUGGCACUGGCUGUCAGCGGGUGGCCAUCCCACCACUGUGAAGGAGACAGACCACGGAUGUUUACACCAUGCAAAUGAGCCCUGGUAUCAACAGGCCUGGGUUUUACAGGAGUGAAUGUUCUGGCAUCGGAUGGCCCGGGUGGAAUCCUGGCUCCACCGCCUCAGGGAUCAUGGCGAAUCCCUCCAGGCUUUCCUGUGUCCUGAAGCUCUCUCACCCAUCAGAGGGGUCAGUUUCAUCUGCCCAGAGCGCUGAGAGGGCCUAACAGAGAGAGGCACCUUUGCUCUGCACAGCUCCUGGGACAGGCCUAAACUCCACCGUGUCAGCUGCCGUUAUUACCAUGUCUUUGGAGUUCACUGGGCUCUUGGCCGUCUGUUUCCUGGGCCCCAAGGUAAGAGUCAGAAUGCAAUCAUCAAAACCAUUGUGAAGGAGCGGAACAAACAAGUCACUGUGCCGUUUUCCCAGGAGGCGCAGAGUAGGCUGAGCGCCAGCUGCAUGAUGGAACCUGGUCUCAGGUGAGCCCGUUCCAUCCCCACAGUGGCCCUGCAGGACCAGCAGUGGACACUGCUCACUGAUGAGGGGCUGGCACUUCACAAGGUGACUGCCACCACGCGAUGGACUCCCACUGCCCCUGCCCACCUCAACCCCACUUGCCACUGCAUUUUCACCUGCUGCAGGUGACCUGGCCCCGGCCCAGGUGAGCUCCCAGGGCUCUAACAGCGCCUCACUGCAGGGCAGCCAGCUCCCCUCCCUCCGUCACUUCUUAAGGAGCAUCAGGCAGCAAAACUCUAUGAAGUCAGGGCCUCAUCUCGACAACGUGGCAAGCGACCCCAGGUGAGCACAGGCGGGGCCCACCUUAGCCGGGUCAGCAGGCCCCUGGGUGCACCUGCGCCAGUGCCCUGGGACACCCGCACCAGAGCCAAGCUUCACUGUCCCCACGUGAACACCACUCUCGGGGCCUGUCCCCCGGGACCCUCCCCCUGAACCCACAGAGGCACAGCGCACUCCCAGGCCCAGACAGUAGGAAUCUCCUAGAAGCUGACAUUCCUGGCUUCCAACUGCUCCCAACACAAGCCCACCCCGUCAUCUUACGGGCACCCAACGCACUGGGUUCAGGGCAUGAAUGACAUGCCUUUGGUAGGGUGUGAACUCUGUGGGGAGGCACACACCUGGGCCGCCUCCUGGGGGUUUGGGCAGCCACUGUGGUACCUCCAAGGUUAGGGUGAAGCUGCCCCCAACCCUGGUGAUGGGAUUACCUCUAGUCCUCAUGCACGAGAAGAUUAACAGGAAUCACCUGAGAACUGCUCCAAGCCUACACAUUCCAGGACCCCUCCAGAGCUCACACCCUGUCCCGCGGACAUGUUGCAGCUGCUUCCGGAUGGCUGGGUUCCUUCAGAAAUCUCUAGGAAGACCUGAAGGGCUCCCAGGUUAGGCUAAUGCCCCUCUGUGUUGAGACAGUGUCCUUUCAGAAAGCAAGGGGGACGUGCAUGCUAUAGGGGCUCCUGCCCCUUGGCAACCAGCUGCGUGACCUCAGACAAGGGAAGCCCUCUCUGAGCCUCACCUGUCACACUGGUGAGCCAGGGUGCUCCUUUCAUCAAUUAAUUUUAAACCAUAUUUUGUGUAACUAUAAGGAAGAGACAGAGAAGGGCUUGGACACAUCACCGCUGCACUUUAGGCCCAGCCCUGCAGGAGAGCUCCCGCUCUGAGCCAGGCUCUGCAAGGGGCUGGCCCACAGGAAGGAAAAAGUCAUGACAUCAUCAAGAGGGUCUCUGCAAACCUCCGCACAUGCGGGGAGCUGCUGCUGAUCCCACCCAGGGGCCGUGCCUUCUACUGAGAUGACCUUCUGCCUGAAGAGGUGUGGCUCUGUACGGCUCGGUGCGGUCCCCAGCAUUUGGUUGCCGCGGGCCCGGAGAGAGCUGCAGAGGGACAGGCCAGGGACCCCUCCAUGGAGGGCAGAACAGGCAGCUGCGUGUGGGCCGCAGGCAGAGGCCACAUGAGAGCUCACUGGGCGGAGCAGGAGCUGACCGGAAGAGCCGCCAAACGGGGCGCCGGCCAGAGGGUUCAGGACUCGCGUCUGUGUGGAGCUGGGCAGUGAGGAAGAGGCCAGGGAGCAGCUGGAAGGGGACAGCCUGGCCUGCCCUGGACUCCAGGAGCUCAGGGUGGGGCGGCCGCUGAAUGGUGGGUACCAAGGGGCCUCGGUGGGCUGGGAGAGCAGCCGGGCACAGCCCAGCAGCAAGACGUCAGGAUCCUCCAUCACUGCGUACCCUGAAGGAAGCCCGGGUCCUUGGGGCCCCAUCUGUUUAAAGUCAUGUUCAAGAAUAAAGUCAAGCUGCUGAUCAAGAAAAAGAAAGGUUUAAGAUACUUGAGUUCUGGAUUUCUGUCUUUCUCCGCCUCCACCCUCCUCCUCCUCCUCAAAAUUCUUAUCUGACAUCUCUGCCACUCCCCAAAAUUCCAAACCCAUAACAGCACCAAAAACUGUUUUCCCUUUUCUGCUCUCAAAACUCUUGGUGGGGUCGUGUGUGGCCGCAGGCCCCACCCCAGCCGCCCAGCCUGUGGGCUCCGGUUUGCCAGCAGGACGGGCUCGUCCAGGAUUUGAGGGCUGUGACAUGGGGGCCUUCACGCAAUGGGGGUCUCUUCUUAAGAAAAAGAAUAAAAAGUAUGGGCACAGAGUGAAGUACAAAUGAGAAAGAAAUAAUUCAGGGUAGAAAAGAAACCACAACAAAUUACAACUAUUCAAAAGCUGACAAACGCAGUAAGUGUAACCAAAAAAGAGAACAAAUGAUGUUCACUAAUUAAGUGCCUGAUGGUGACCAGCAUUUUGAAAUAUUUCCUACAGUAAGAGCAGAAAGAUAAGCGAGUCUUUCUUCCAGCAUGGUUACCGGAGUUUGUUUCUUCC